UCGAGCGGUAGCACAGGAGAGCUUGCUCUCCGGGUGACGAGCGGCGGACGGGUGAGUAAUGUCUGGGAAACUGCCUGAUGGAGGGGGAUAACUACUGGAAACGGUAGCUAAUACCGCAUAACGUCUUCGGACCAAAGUGGGGGACCUUCGGGCCUCACGCCAUCAGAUGUGCCCAGAUGGGAUUAGCUAGUAGGUGGGGUAAUGGCUCACCUAGGCGACGAUCCCUAGCUGGUCUGAGAGGAUGACCAGCCACACUGGAACUGAGACACGGUCCAGACUCCUACGGGAGGCAGCAGUGGGGAAUAUUGCACAAUGGGCGCAAGCCUGAUGCAGCCAUGCCGCGUGUGUGAAGAAGGCCUUCGGGUUGUAAAGCACUUUCAGCGAGGAGGAAGGGUGGUGUGUUAAUAGCGCAUCACAUUGACGUUACUCGCAGAAGAAGCACCGGCUAACUCCGUGCCAGCAGCCGCGGUAAUACGGAGGGUGCAAGCGUUAAUCGGAAUUACUGGGCGUAAAGCGCACGCAGGCGGUUUGUUAAGUCAGAUGUGAAAUCCCCGCGCUUAACGUGGGAACUGCAUUUGAAACUGGCAAGCUAGAGUCUUGUAGAGGGGGGUAGAAUUCCAGGUGUAGCGGUGAAAUGCGUAGAGAUCUGGAGGAAUACCGGUGGCGAA
rnacentral:rRNA from 1 species